CCUACGGGAGGCAGCAGUGAGGAAUAUUGGUCAAUGGGCGGGAGCCUGAACCAGCCAAGUCGCGUGAGGGAAGACGGUCCUACGGAUUGUAAACCUCUUUUGCCGGGGAGCAACGGGGUCCUUGCGAGGGCCCGAUGAGAGUACCCGGAGAAAAAGCAUCGGCUAACUCCGUGCCAGCAGCCGCGGUAAUACGGAGGAUGCGAGCGUUAUCCGGAUUUAUUGGGUUUAAAGGGAGCGUAGAUGGGUUGUUAAGUCAGUUGUGAAAGUUUGCGGCUCAACCGUAAAAUUGCAAUUGAUACUGGCAGUCUUGAGUACAGUUGAGGUAGGCGGAAUUCGUGGUGUAGCGGUGAAAUGCUUAGAUAUCACGAAGAACCCCGAUUGCGAAGGCAGCUUACUAAACUGUGACUGACAUUGAUGCUCGAAAGUGUGGGUAUCAAACAGGAUUAGAUACCCUAGUAGUC
rnacentral:rRNA from 1 species